ensembl:lncRNA
GGUUACCUUUGGGUUCUCAUUACCCUUCCGAAGGAAAUGAUUGUUUUGAAUUGGAGAUAUGGGGAAGUAUGUCCCUGCCUUGCCUGCUCCUCCUUUGAGGAGAAUGCAGGUUUGGACGCUGGGGUGGAAUUCGAAACCAACCCGAAACUCGAAAAGGAGGGCUGAACUGUUCCCAGAGGGAACAGACAUGGAAUUGGGGUCGGGACAAAUAGUAUGUCUGCAGGCUGACUAGUGGACCCGCACCCACCGGCCUGCUGCAGAAGGAAAUGCACAAAGGCCUGUCUUCUGACUUCCCAUUUCCCCCCUGGGGAAACCCUGCCUCAGGCAAUCUGAGUCAGGCCGCCUAACCUGAAGAGUUUUGCCCAAGGGUGCAUGAAGUAGGGAGGUGACCAGAACCGACUUCCUAACCUUUUAGCUCUGCCUUCGAGGAUGCUAUCGGAGAAGAACUUUGCGCAGUUCCCGCAGGCGGUCGACCACCAGAGGCAAGGAGUUCUAGGUUUCGGAGCACCAGGAAUUAUCAGGGAGAACCAUUGUAAGUACCUUUCCUAUUCUUCCGAGUAACGAAAAGGCAGUGCUAACACUUGGAGGUGAUGGGCGAAAGUCAGCGCCAGCGGAGAAGGGAGGGUUAAGGACUGGUGCUGCCUCCCCAGGCCAAAACGGACUCACUUGGGGAGGGGGUGGAAGCUUCAGGUUUACCGUCUAGAAAGUAUUUCUGGGGCCUAGGUCACAGUCACCUGCACUAGUAAACGCACGGCAGGGGAUCACCCUCAUCUUCGGGACCUCCCUGGACCUUACAGGCCUUUCCCAGGCUUCUUUUGGCUCGCACAGGUGCAACGGACUUGCAGCUAAUUAGCAGCCCACCAUAUCAACGAACUGCGGGUGGGCCAGCAUCCACAACUGCUAGAAUUGACCCAAUCAGCACUGAGGCAGCAGUGUUCCCCCCCUCUGCGGUCCAGCCAUUAUUAUCUCUGCCCAGUCUAUCUCAAC